GCUUCACUCUUGCCCUCUGACUCGGUAGUGGCUGCGGAACUGACCUGUCUUCUCAGCUUCGCUCUGCCAUAGCAUGGGAAAAGUAAGAGCAACGACUGGCUGCCUGCCGACUUAGAAAGACAUCAUUGCGUCACUUCAUGCUCGUAAAUGAAAAUGUCAUCGUCUUUUCAAGUGUAACAGAUUUUGGAAGAAACUUUGCAGCCAAAUGAAAAGCUACGCUCAACUUUUGGCAUCAUUAAAACCAGACAAUUUGCCCUCAAAAGGCUCCUCCUACACCACGUAAAGUUGUGGCUGCAGAUGUGAAUGUGCUGUGCAUGCAAACAGAGCAUACAAAGGUUGCUUUUUGGAAUGGUCUCCAAACAGCCAGAGGACAUCUAAGUAGCUGACAUGUCUUAUUACGUACUUUUUUCCUUAGGAGCGAUGAAAGAAGAAACAGGUUUGCUGUAGAGGCCUUGCAUUGUUAAGAGAGCAGUGCUUAAAAACUCACCUGAUUUUUAUGGAAACGUGAGAAAAGCUUGCUCUGUUUAGAUUACUUCAAUCCUAACGCUGCAACUACAGUCUUUAUUCAGUAAGAGGGUGGAUUACUAACAUCUGCAUAGCAGCCAGUCCCUUCACCUCUGUGCAAAUAUUUCCUUUGAAUGCUUAAUUAUGAAAGAGCUGCAAAGUACACUAUCAAGAGUAAUGCCAAGUAUCUAAAAUGAGAAAUCUCCUUUUUUUGCAGUAGAUUAA
rnacentral:lncRNA from 1 species